rnacentral:rRNA from 1 species
ACUGAAAUUUUUAAAUGGCCGCAGUAUACUAACUGUGCAAAGGUAGCAUAAUCAUUAGUCUUUUAAUUGAAGGCUGGUAUGAAUGGUUGGACGAGAUAUUAACUGUUUCAUAAAAAUUUAUAAUAGAAUUUUAUUUUUUAGUCAAAAAGCUAAAAUUUAUUUAAAAGACGAGAAGACCCUAUAAAUCUUUAUAUUUAGAUUAUUAUAAUUUUAUAGAUUUUUUUUGUUAUAAUAAUUCAUUAUAUUUUAUUGGGGUGAUAUUAAAAUUUAAUAAACUUUUAAUUUUUAGAAUCAUUAAUUUAUGAAUAAUUGAUCCGUUAUUAGCGAUUAAAAAAAUAAGUUACUUUAGGGAUAACAGCGUAAUUUUUUUGGAGAGUUCAUAUCGAUAAAAAAGAUUGCGACCUCGAUGUUGGAUUAAGAUAUAAUUUUAGGUGUAGCCGCUUAAAUUUUAAGUCUGUUCGACUUUUAAAUUCUUACAUGAUCUGAGUUCAAACCGGCGUAAGCCAGGUUGGUUUCUAUCUUUAAAAA